rnacentral:rRNA from 1 species
AGUGAACGCUGGCGGUAGGCCUAACACAUGCAAGUCGAACGGCAGCACAGUAAGAGCUUGCUCUUACGGGUGGCGAGUGGCGGACGGGUGAGGAAUACAUCGGAAUCUACUUUUUCGUGGGGGAUAACGUAGGGAAACUUACGCUGAUACCGCAUACGACCUACGGGUGAAAGCAGGGGAUCUUCGGACCUUGCGCGAUUGAAUGAGCCGAUGUCGGAUUAGCUAGUUGGCGGGGUAAAGGCCCACCAAGGCGACGAUCCGUAGCUGGUCUGAGAGGAUGAUCAGCCACACUGGAACUGAGACACGGUCCAGACUCCUACGGGAGGCAGCAGUGGGGAAUAUUGGACAAUGGGCGCAAGUCUGAUCCAGCCAUACCGCGUGGGUGAAGAAGGCCUUCGGGUUGUAAAGCCCUUUUGUUGGGAAAGAAAAGCAGCAGGUUAAUACCCCGCUGUUCUGACGGUACCCAAAGAAUAAGCACCGGCUAACUUCGUG